CAUAGGGAUGCUCAUAAGUGUACGUGGUACCAGAUUCCCCUAGGCCAAAGAUCAAUGAUCGAUUUUAUAAUUGUUUCGUCUGAUCUGAGGCCAUAUGUUUUGGACAGCUCGGGUAAAGAGAGGG